GCGUGUACAGUACAUACUACGAUAGUAUGGAGGAGUAAUCGGACAACGGAGAUAUUACAACAUCAGCGAGAUAUUGAGAUCACGACUGUAUCACGGAACGCACACGACUCGAUGCCUCGGCAAGAUGCUUUGUGUAUCUUUUAAUUUUAUAUUUAUCCAGCAGAAUCUUGGAUCGAUCUGUAAGAAAGUAAGAAUUGCCGCGACACAAUUGGCUAGGAAGCUCGGAACCCCAUCCCAUUGGCGCGGGGUCACGUGAGCCUACAGUACCCGGAAUUCCGCGCGCAGCCAAGGAAAGCCAGUUAACUUCACUGCAGUUAACUACAGAGUAAGCAAGCUAAUCGUCUAAUAUCCGGCAUUGCCUGUCCGAACAAAGCAAUCAAACGAGAUGUUGAUCGCACUAACCCAACCCGCGCUACGUAUCAAUCCGGAAAUGCUUUCAAAAUCGACCGAACCCACGUCCCUUGUGCUUGUGACAUGUCUUAUGGCAAUGGCACUCUUUAUUGCAGGACAAUGUCCUGCCUCGUCGACUUCAAUAGGUUGACCCUCACCGCAUAUUCUCCGCUGCUGUUAAAGCAGAUUAUUUGGUUUGUCAACGAUCUCUGUUGCGUAUGUGCUCUGUAUGCAUGUAUUGCCCACCAUUUGAUAGCAUUCCAUGUUCGGGCAAUUUAUGAUUCGCGUUUUGGUUGUAGCAAGCUGAGGGUUGAUCGCAAAACAUACAUGCUCUGACCGAGGACCCCAAAUCAUUCAACUCAUACUCAUAGCCCACACACCCGAGUGGAGUCUGCGCUCCACGGAGAUUUUUCACCAAUUCCCUUUCCAAUCUAGCGCCAACUCAGUUCACUCCUUAAGAAGUAAGAAAAGAAAAGAAACCAAAAAGCAACUAGUUCAGCUUAGCUUCUGCCCGCAACCGGUCUCCUGGGUUAACAUCCUAGCUCCAAUUCAGAACAUCCACCAGUCUAGACAGCGUAUCACAUUGAGGCGCCACUUUUAAUGUUUUUCCUUCUUUUCACCCUUGAAGUUUCAAAUUUGUCAUGUUCCCGGCUGCCCGAGGUUCAGGUACAUGGGUCACCUGGCUACCUUGCACAGUAGGUAGCUGGUCUAGUGCGUGUACUGCUUUCUUUUUUUUCCCUUUGUCUUUUCUUUUCUUUCCGUCCAAACUGGCCCCUCUUCGAACCCCCCCUUUUGUAAAGUCUGUUCUGUUGACUCUCGGCUUCCGGAUCGGUCAGGAUUUUCAUCUUGUAUGCCAGCAACCCAUGCAGGGUUUCUGUACAAUUGACGUAUGCAGUGUUGCGUAUGUAUGUACGUAUGUGCAGUACUAAUAUGUAUGUAUUGAUGUAUUACGGAGUGCGUUCGGACCACUGCUUGAAUACAUACACUCAUAUAACUUAGCCUUGCAUCAUUAUACUCAAGUAGUCUGCUCAACAUCGAGUUGUUCAAGAUUACCUUCCUAUUUUCCCCUGCCGAUGUCACUUGACGUAGAUGAAACUGGGCAGGGCUAGCUGGUCAGGGACAAAAUGGUUAGACUUUUAUCUGAAGCUCAAAACCCUUCCCUGAUGCACCGCCAUUGCCGCGUCAUGAUCCAGCACGAAUGCUAGUUAAUUGACGAUUUGUACUACAGAGUAAGCAGUAAAUAUUAGUUAACUAACGUUAAACAACAAAUAAUAAGUAAUCAAAUAUGCUAGCAAACCCGUUUGCGGCAAACCUAACCCCCAACCCCAGCCCAACCAAGCCCCCCCUUUCUUGCUCAAAUCAUUCGCCUCGCCCUUGAUCAACAAUAAAUCGAACAAACAAGAUCGUCUAACAUUGACAAAAGAAGGCAACAACAGGGCCACUUUUCUUUCCUUGUAUUCCUAGUUCUCCCCACAGCUGGCGAACUCAAUCAUCCCAA
rnacentral:lncRNA from 1 species